GGGCUCAACAUUCGGCUCCAACCCCAAUGUGAACGUUACCAAUCUGUUGCCUCGGCGGGAUUCUCUUGCCCCGGGCGCGUCGCAGCCCCGGAUCCCAUGGCGCCCGCCGGAGGACCAACUCCAAACUCUUUUUUUCUCUCCGUCGCGGCUCCCGUCGCGGCUCUGUUUUAUUUUUGCUCUGAGCCUUUCUCGGCGACCCUAGCGGGCGUCUCGAAAAAUGAAUCAAAACUUUCAACAACGGAUCUCUUGGUUCUGGCAUCGAUGAAGAACGCAGCGAAAUGCGAUAAGUAAUGUGAAUUGCAGAAUUCAGUGAAUCAUCGAAUCUUUGAACGCACAUUGCGCCCGCCAGUAUUCUGGCGGGCAUGCCUGUCCGAGCGUCAUUUCAACCCUCAAACCCUCCGGGGGGUCAGCGUUGCGCAACAGGAUUUCAGAUGGCGAGAAAGAAAUAAAUAGGAGGUGGUCCAUUCGCCUGCGCUCUGCGGAUUUGGGCACCGACGCGCCCGGAGCAGGAGAAUCCCGCCCAGGCAAACAAUUGGUAACGUUCACAUUGGGGUUUGGGAGAUGAAACUCUCUAAUGAACCUCCGCAGUCUCCUAGCGGAGAAAUUUUCGAGUUCAUGCGCAUCCUGUCAUUAGGUAUGGGUUGUGCAAGGAGGGACAAUUAUUCGGAGUUUGUAAAGGUUAUAAGCAUAUAGUAUAAUACAUAUAUUUU
rnacentral:rRNA from 1 species